rnacentral:rRNA from 1 species
UACGUAGGGGGCAAGCGUUGUCCGGAUUUAUUGGGCGUAAAGAGCGUGUAGGCGGCCAUGUAGGUCCGUUGUGAAAACUCGAGGCUCAACCUCGAGACGCCGAUGGAAACCAUGUGGCUAGAGUCCGGAAGAGGAGAGUGGAAUUCCUGGUGUAGCGGUGGAAUGCGCAGAUAUCAGGAGGAACACCAAUAGCGAAGGCAGCUCGCUGGGACGGUACUGACGCUCAGGCGCGAAAGCGUGGGGAGCAAACAGG